CCUACGGGAGGCAGCAGUGAGGAAUAUUGGUCAAUGGUCGGGAGACUGAACCAGCCAAGCCGCGUGAGGGAGGAAGGUACAGAGUAUCGUAAACCUCUUUUGUCAGGGAACAAAGGCGGGGACGUGUCCCCGGAUGCGUGUACCCGAAGAAAAAGCAUCGGCUAACUCCGUGCCAGCAGCCGCGGUAAUACGGAGGAUGCGAGCGUUAUCCGGAUUUAAUGGGUUUAAAGGGAGAGGAGGCGGCAGUGUAAGUCAGCGGUCAAAGCCCCGGGCUCAACCCCGGGCACGCGUUGGAAACUGGCAGUCUAGAGUGGGGGAGAGGUAUGCGGAAUGCGCGGUGUAGCGGUGAAAUGCAUAGAUA
rnacentral:rRNA from 1 species